rnacentral:misc_RNA from 1 species
GAUGAAGAACGCAGCGAAAUGCGAUAAGUAGUGUGAAUUGCAGAAUUCAGUGAAUCAUCGAAUCUUUGAACGCACAUUGCGCCCCUCGGUAUUCCGUGGGGCAUGCCUGUUCGAGCGUCAUCUACCCCUCAAGCACUGCUUGGUGUUGGGCGUCUGUCCCGCUUCGCGCGCGGACUCGCCCCAAAGGUGUUGGCAGCGGUCGUGCCAGCUUCUCGCGCAGCACAUUGCGCUUCUCGAGGCGGUCGAUCGGCGUCCACGAAGCUCACCUCCACCGUUUGACCUCGGAUCAGGUAGGGAUACCCGCUGAACUUAAGCAUAUCAAUAAGCGGAGGA